rnacentral:rRNA from 1 species
GCCCAUAAUCUAGCCCAACUUUUCCUAUAAACUCACCCUCUUUCCCUCAAAAUAAAAUAAAACAUUCUAAAUCUUUAGUAAAUGCGAUUAAAAAAGAACCUGGAGCUACACAUAUAGUACCGCAAGGGAAAGAUGAAAUAGAAGUUAAAUAAAUAUUUAAGCAUAAAAAAGCAAAGAUUUCAACUUGUACCUUUUGCAUCAUGGUCUAACUAGUCCAUCCAGGCAAAAAGGUUUUUAGUCUGAUACCCCGAAACUAAGUGAGCUACUCCGAGGCAACCUUAGAGUGAACCCGUCUCUGUGGCAAAAGAGUGGGACGACCUCCGAGUAGAGGCGACAUACCUAUCGAACUUAGUGAUAGCUGGUUACUCAAGAAAAGAAUUUUAGUUCAAUCUUAAAGGAACCCUUCAUAACUUAAUUAAAUAUACCCAUCCUUUAAGACUUAUUCAAUAAGGGUACAGCCUUAUUGAAAAAGGAUACAACCUAAAACUCAGGUUAAUGAUUUCUUCUUCUAAGAGGAGCUAGUUGGCUUAAGAGCAGCCACCUUUCUAAUAGCGUCAAAGCUUUCUCCUUCUUAUUCUCUAAUACUUAUUUCCCAUCAGAACCCGAUCAUAUUAUUGAGUCAUCCUAUACUUUUAUAGAAGUGUUUAUGUUAGAACUAGUAACACAGAAUUAUUUCUCUCUAUGUAAGUGUAAAUCAGAUUGAAUACGUCACUGAUACUUACUCAGUAAUGAAAACAAUGUAGCAACUUCACUAGAAAAUCCUACUAUCUUUUCUGUUAACCUAACACAAGAACCUAGGAAAAAGAUUAAAAGACUAAGAAGGAACUCGGCAAAUAAGGAUCCCGCCUGUUUACCAAAAACAUCGCCUCUUGAAUAAUAUACUAGGUACUGCCUGCCCAGUGACUAUAUGUUUAACGGCCGUGGUAUUUUGACCACGCAAAGGUAGCGUAAUCACUUGUUUUUUAAAUAAAGACUUGUAUGAAUGGCUUGACGAGGAUCCAACUGUCUCCUCUGGCCAAUCAGUGAAACUGAUCCCCUCGUGCAGAAGCGAGGAUUAACUNNNNNNNNNNNNNNNNNNNNNNNNNNNNNNNNNNNNNNNNNNNNNNNNNNNNNCCCCUUUCCUCUAACUGAACUAACAUUUAACUAAAUCUGCUUGAUUAAAGUUUUGGGUUGGGACGACCAUGGAGAAAAAAAAAUCCUCCCUGAUGACACCUAACUAAGAGCCUCAGCUCUAAGUAAUAAGAUACUUAACUUCUAUUGACCCAUUUUAUUGAUCAACGAACCAAGUUACCCUAGGGAUAACAGCGCAAUCCAUUUCAAGAGUCCUUAUCGACAAAUGGGUUUACGACCUCGAUGUUGGAUCAGGGCACCCAAGUG